rnacentral:rRNA from 1 species
UACGUAGGGGGCUAGCGUUGUCCGGAAUCAUUGGGCGUAAAGCGUGCGCAGGCGGUUGUGCAAGACAGAUGUGAAAUCCCCGGGCUUAACCUGGGAAUUGCAUUUGUGACUGCACGGCUAGAGUGUGUCAGAGGGGGGUAGAAUUCCACGUGUAGCAGUGAAAUGCGUAGAUAUGUGGAGGAGUACCGAUGGCGAAGGCAGCCCCCUGGGAUAACACUGACGCUCAUGCACGAAAGCGUGGGGAGCAAACAGG